rnacentral:tRNA from 1 species
AGCUCAGCUGGAUAGAGCGCUGCCCUCCGAAGGCAGAGGUCAGAGGUUCGAAUCCUCUUGGGUGCGCCA